rnacentral:lncRNA from 1 species
UCAAACUCUCAAAUCUCAAUUCUCGUCUGAAUUUGAAAAUUGGAUCUGCACGGCGCACGCAGCCGCUUCACGCUCACCUCAAUUCCUCCGCCGCCGCUGCUCGCCUCCGCCGCCGAUUGGUGUCGCCUCGCUGCUGAUUGUUGUCGCGCUCUCCGGAAUUCGCUGCUCUCCGCCGCUCCGGGAGUUCCUGCCCUCUCCGCCGCACGCCGCCGCGCCGGGAGUUUCUACGCUCUCCGCCGCACGCCGCCGUCGCGCCGCGAAGCUGCUCCUGCACUCCUCAAGGUAAACCCUCCAGCACCGCUAAGCUGUCCUUCCUGAAACAAAGAGCUCACCUACUCUGAAUUAAUUUAAUUCUGGAAAUUUAGAAGCUUCUGCCAAAAUGCCCCAAAUUGAAUUUUCAUAAAGGAAGCAGAUAAGGAGCUAAUUGAAGUUUUACCCAAUAAUUUACUCAAAAAAUGCAUUCCCAAAUCCAGUUUGUGUUGCUUUGGUUAGCUUAUUUGGUUGAAUGCUGAAAACUGCUUUGUUGAUGAGAAGUAUGAUGAUUUGAGCGUGGAUGAAUUCUCAAAUCCAUUUUAUUUUGUUCUGUUUUAUUUUCUUGAAGAGUUGGGAGCUUCUUGUUUUGUCUGCAUCCAUUUUUUGCAAUAGUUUG